AACGAACGCUGGCGGCAGGCUUAACACAUGCAAGUCGAGCGCCCCGCAAGGGGAGCGGCAGACGGGUGAGUAACACGUGGGGAUCUGCCCAAUGGCACGGAAUAACUCCGGGAAACUGGAAUUAAUACCGUAUGUGCCCGCAAGGGGAAAGAUUUAUCGCCAUUGGAUGAACCCGCGUCGGAUUAGCUAGUUGGUGUGGUAAAGGCGCACCAAGGCGACGAUCCGUAGCUGGUCUGAGAGGAUGAUCAGCCACACUGGGACUGAGACACGGCCCAGACUCCUACGGGAGGCAGCAGUGGGGAAUAUUGGACAAUGGGCGCAAGCCUGAUCCAGCCAUGCCGCGUGAGUGAUGAAGGCCUUAGGGUUGUAAAGCUCUUUCGCCGACGAAGAUAAUGACGGUAGUCGGAGAAGAAGCCCCGGCUAACUUCGUGCCAGCCGCCGCCGUAAGAC
rnacentral:rRNA from 1 species